rnacentral:tRNA from 2 species
GGUGAGGUGUCCGAGCGGUUGAAGGAGCACGCCUGGAAAGCGUGUAUAGGUUAAUACCUAUCGAGGGUUCGAAUCCCUCCCUCACCGCCA